AUUGAACGCUGGCGGCAUGCUUUACACAUGCAAGUCGAACGGUAACAGGGUGCUUGCACCGCUGACGAGUGGCGAACGGGUGAGUAAUGCGUCGGAACGUGCCGAGUAGUGGGGGAUAACGCAGCGAAAGUUGUGCUAAUACCGCAUACGUACUGAGGUAGAAAGGGGGGGACCUUCAGGCCUCACGCUAUUCGAGCGGCCGACGUCUGAUUAGCUGGUAGGUGAGGUAAAGGCUCACCUAGGCGACGAGCAGUAGCGGGUCUGAGAGGAUGAUCCGCCACACUGGGACUGAGACACGGCCCAGACUCCUACGGGAGGCAGCAGUGGGGAAUUUUGGACAAUGGGCGAAAGCCUGAUCCAGCCAUGCCGCGUGUCUGAAGAAGGCCUUCGGGUUGUAAAGGACUUUUGUCGGGGAGGAAAUCCCCAGCGUUAAUACCGCUGGGGGAUGACAGUACCUGAAGAAUAAGCACCGGCUAACUACGUGCCAGCCGCCGCAGUAACAC
rnacentral:rRNA from 1 species